rnacentral:rRNA from 1 species
UAGGGAAUAUUGCUCAAUGGGGGAAACCCUGAAGCAGCAACACCGCGUGAGUGAUGAAGGCCUUCGGGUCGUAAAGCUCUGUUGUACGGGGCGAAUGCCGUUAUGGCUAAUAUCCAUAGCGAGUGACAGUACCGUAUAAGAAAGGACCGGCUAACUUCGUGCCAGCAGCCGCGGUAAGACGGGGGGUCCAAGCGUUGUUCGGAAUCAUUGGGCGUAAAGCGUGUGCAGGUGGUUUUGUAAGUUGGAUGUGAAAGCCCCGGGCUUAACCCGGGAAGUGCAUUCAAAACUGCAAAACUUGAGUAUGGAAGAGGGUCGUGGAAUUCCAGGUGUAGUGGUGAAAUACGUAGAUAUCUGGAGGAACACCGGUGGCGAAGGCGGCGACCUGGUCCUAUACUGACACUCAUACACGAAAGCGUGGGGAUCAAACAGG